rnacentral:rRNA from 1 species
ACAUGCAAGUCGAACGGCAGCGACAGGGGAGCUUGGNUCCCGGGUGGCGAGUGGCGCACGGGUGAGUAAUACAUCGGAACGUGUCCUGUUGUGGGGGGAUAACUGCUCGAAAGGGUGGCUAAUACCGCAUGAGACCUGAGGGUGAAAGCGGGGGAUCGCAAGACCUCGCGCAAUUGGAGCGGCCGAUGCCCGAUUAGGCUGGUUGGUGAGGUAAAGGCUCACCAAGGCGACGAUCGGUAGCUGGGUCUGAGAGGACGACCAGCCACACUGGGACUGAGACACGGCCCAGACUCCUACGGGAGGCAGCAGUGGGGAAUUUUGGACAAUGGGGGCAACCCUGAUCCAGCCAUGCCGCGUGCAGGAUGAAGGCCUUCGGGUUGUAAACUGCUUUUGUCAGGGACGAAAAGGAUCGUGAUAAUGCCAUGGUCUGCUGACGGUACCUGAAGAAUAAGCACCGGCUAACUACGUG